rnacentral:rRNA from 1 species
AUACAUAGCGUAAUGAAGCGAACCGGGGGAACUGAAACAUCUAAGUACCCCGAGGAAAAGAAAUCAACCGAGAUUCCCCCAGUAGCGGCGAGCGAACGGGGAGCAGCCCAGAGUCUGAAUCAGCUUGUGUGUUAGUGGAACGGUCUGGAAAGUCCGACGGUACAGGGUGAUAGUCCCGUACACCAAAAUGCACAGGUUGUGAACUCGAAGAGUAGGGCGGGACACGUGGUAUCCUGUCUGAAUAUGGGGGGACCAUCCUCCAAGGCUAAAUACUCCUGACUGACCGAUAGUGAACCAGUACCGUGAGGGAAAGGCGAAAAGAACCCCGGCGAGGGGAGUGAAAAAGAACCUGAAACCGUGUACGUACAAGCAGUGGGAGCCUCUUUAUGGGGUGACUGCGUACCUUUUGUAUAAUGGGUCAGCGACUUAUAUUCUGUAGCAAGGUUAACCGUAUAGGGGAGCCGAAGGGAAACCGAGUCUUAACUGGGCGUUAAGUUGCAGGGUAUAGACCCGAAACCCGGUGAUCUAGCCAUGGGCAGGUUGAAGGUUGGGUAACACUAACUGGAGGACCGAACCGACUAAUGUUGAAAAAUUAGCGGAUGACUUGUGGCUGGGGGUGAAAGGCCAAUCAAACCGGGAGAUAGCUGGUUCUCCCCGAAAGCU